CCUACGGGUGGCUGCAGUGAGGAAUAUUGGUCAAUGGACGAGAGUCUGAACCAGCCAAGUCGCGUGAAGGAUGACUGCCCUAUGGGUUGUAAACUUCUUUUAUAAAGGAAUAAAACGAGGCACGUGUGCCGUUGUGCCUGUACUUUAUGAAUAAGGAUCGGCUAACUCCGUGCCAGCAGCCGCGGUAAUACGGAGGAUCCGAGCGUUAUCCGGAUUUAUUUGGUUUAAAGGGAGCGUUGAUGGUUUGUUAAGUCAGUUGUGAAAGUUUGCGGCUCAACCGUAAAAUUGCAAUUGAUACUGGCAGUCAUGAGUACAGUUGAGGUAGGCGGAAUUCGUGGUGUAGCGGUGAAAUGCUUAGAUAUCACGAAGAACCCCGAUUGCGAAGGCAGCUUACUAAACUGUGACUGACAUUGAUGCACGAAAGUGUGGGUAGCAAACAGGAUUAGAUACCCCAGUAGUC
rnacentral:rRNA from 1 species